CUCAGUAUCAGAAGCAUCCAAGUCUGCUACUCCCUCAGUCUUUCUGUGACCCACUGUGCAACACAAACGACUCCCAGUUGAUCAUAUCCUUUUCCUGUCAAUGUGACCACCUAAUUACUUCCAGCAGAUAAAUAUCAGCGUAUACUGCAUGUCCUGCAUAAAGACUGGGUCGGAGGAGACACAGAGACAUGUGGGAUUUCAGCAGAGGUUUCUCAAAUGGGCUGUGGAAUCACUGUUCUUACAAUGAGGACACAUUUGUGUGGAAACCACACAGAGAUCCGUUCUCCACCCAACCCAUCCUCCUCUCACAGAACAGAGCACAGCAGAACUGAAGAGUUGUUGACAGCCACCAUCAGAAGAACCACUUUAAGGAGAAGCCAGAGCUGAAGAAGUUGGAGAGACCAGCAGGAAGAAAACUCAAGUAAGCCCUUACUAAUGGAUAGGGAAAUCUCCAUUGUUCAGGGUUUAUUGUCAGGAGUUUACACAUACAAGUUCACCAAACAGUCAACACAGAUCUACGCUGCAAGUGCUGCAUUGCAAAUGCUGUGGAAGACACUGAGGCUCAAGGACACGAAGAAACGUUCUCAUUUCUGUAUAACUGAUGGGACCACCAUCACUUCACCAGGUCCACUAAUCAGCUUCAGGAUCUUUGGUGUUCUAGCUUGUGCCCAGUCAUUAUUCCAGGUGGUGCUUGUAGAUCAACUCACUGAGGUUGUUUCAAGAAAGGCAGAUAUCAGUCUCCCCUUCACCAGUGGCUCCAUCCUCAUCCUCAUCCUCAUCCUCAUCCUCAUCCUCGUCCUCAUCCUCAGCACCUUCUCUCUUUUAUGCACAAGAUAGUGAGGCACAGAGAAUGUAACUCCCCAUUGAAGGUUCCUCAGGAUGAAGUAGUAUCCUCUCUCAUGUGCCACUGGCCUAUCCACGGAGGCCACCCUGGAAAGGUGGGGUGCAGAGCGGAAGGUCUGUACUGCGCAUGAUGCCUAAUGGCUGCAAUUCCAGCUCUGAAGGUAACCAGAAGUUCCAGCCUUCCAGAUGUCACUCAGUUUGUAUGUGGAGAACUAUACCAUUCUAGGCCCCAGUCCAACUGAUACUCUGAGGUAGCUGACCCUACCAUGUGUCUCUGGUAUGGAGGUAUUACCUCUCCCUUCAGCUCAGCUAUCCUUCAGCUCAGCUAUCGGACUCUGGCAGUCUCUGCUUGGAGGCUACCACCAGGGGAGCUAAGACAAAAGCCCCCUGCAGACUGUCAGUUCUUCCUUGAUGCAGCUGCCUGGAAGUUCACACCUCACACCUACAACGCCUACUGCCUGAAGACAUCCGAGUUGCUGGGGACUUUGGUGCCUGACCUUCUCUGCAGUGUUUAUGUUAUACAAAUAUCAUGUAACCUAGAGAUUCGGUUUCAGAUUUUCAUGUACCUAUAUAUGUUCUGGAUAUUCUAAGUAAAGUGGAAUCCUUGAUUGGGACGCAA